AGCGAACGCUGGCGGCAGGCCUAACACAUGCAAGUCGAACGAAGUCUUCGGACUUAGUGGCGGACGGGUGAGUAACACGUGGGAACGUGCCUUUAGGUUCGGAAUAACUCAGGGAAACUUGUGCUAAUACCGAAUGUGCCCUUCGGGGGAAAGAUUUAUCGCCUUUAGAGCGGCCCGCGUCGGAUUAGCUAGUUGGUGAGGUAAAGGCUCACCAAGGCUACGAUCAGUAGCUGGUCUGAGAGGAUGACCAGCCACAUUGGGACUGAGACACGGCCCAAACUCCUACGGGAGGCAGCAGUGGGGAAUCUUGCGCAAUGGGCGAAAGCCUGACGCAGCCAUGCCGCGUGGAUGAUGAAGGUCUUAGGAUUGUAAAGUCCUUUCACCGGUGAAGAUAAUGACUGUAGCCGGAGAAGAAGCCCCGGCUAACUUCGUGCCAGCCGCCGCUUAACAC
rnacentral:rRNA from 1 species